rnacentral:misc_RNA from 1 species
GUUGUCCCUGGACUCCCAAUAUCCAUAAUUGGGCUAUUUAAUAUAUUUCUCCUCAUUUUAUCACAUGACUGUGUAAAAAUGGAGAUGCAUCAAUGUUUGUUAAUUUUUUAAAAAUUGUUGAUUUAUAAUUAAUUUGCUCCUACUAAUAACAAUCAAUAUUACCAAUUCUUUAUUUCUGCAAACAAAUAUUUGCAUUGAGUGUGCUGUAAUUGUACUGUAAAAAAAUCUAGUCUAUAUAGUACAUUUUCUGACUAUCUGGUGCUAUUUAUUGUGUCUUAGUAAAGAGUCCCCCAAGUUCACAUUUUGUGUAUACAGAUACAAGUGUGUUUAAGUCUUUACUCUACUUAUUUUUGUCAAGUCCACAUGUUUAAGGACAAACCCAGACUUAGUAGGGACUGUUCUGAAGGCAGACCAGGAACCCUAUCAUUAGAAAUGUUUACUAAAGGAUAGGCAAAGACUUUUUGAAUUAUUAAAUAAAUUUUUC